CCUACGGGAGGCUGCAGUGGGGAAUAUUGCACAAUGGGCGCAAGCCUGAUGCAGCCAUGCCGCGUGUGUGAAGAAGGCCUUCGGGUUGUAAAGCACUUUCAGCGGGGAGGAAGGCGUUAAGGUUAAUAACCUUGUCGAUUGACGUUACCCGCAGAAGAAGCACCGGCUAACUCCGUGCCAGCAGCCGCGGUAAUACGGAGGGUGCAAGCGUUAAUCGGAAUUACUGGGCGUAAAGCGCACGCAGGCGGUCUGUCAAGUCGGAUGUGAAAUCCCCGGGCGCAACCUGGGAACUGCAUUCGAAACUGGCAGGCUAGAGUCUUGUAGAGGGGGGUAAGAUUCCAAGUGGAGCGGUGAAAUGCGUAGAGAUCUGGAGGAAUACCGGUGGCGAAGGCGGCCCCCUGGACAAAGACUUACGCUCAGGUGCGAAAGCGUGGGGAGCAAACAGGAUUAGGUACCCCGGUAGUC
rnacentral:rRNA from 1 species